GGCAGUGCAGACACUGUGAGAAGGUGACAUAUCAUUCUUACCCCCUUCUCUUAGAGUUCAGAACAUCCAAAUUCUGCUUACUUGUUCAAUGAUGCACAUCUACAUUUUCUUAGUAGAUAUGUCUUUAUUCUCUUAAAAGCCAAAGGCCCCAAUUGGCAUCUAACCUUAGGUCCAAUAAUCAAAUAGGCCCCUGAUUUUUUUUUUUGUGCAGUCAAUUGGGUCAUUUAUUGUCUAUUUUAACUCAAUUUAGCCCUAAUUUAACGGAUUCAGUUAAUUUUCUGUUUAUAUGAAACUCAUAAAAAUAAUAAAAUAUUAUCUAGAAAAAGAAUCCGAGAAAUUUAUUCUUCCUUUCAAAGAAAAUCUACCCAGAAGAAGAAAUCUGCCGAGCUUCCAGAUUUCCUCACAAUUGUUGUUGCUGUAGCUGUUGUAGUUGUCACCGCACCUUUUCUACUGGCUGGACCCAUUUACCAUGUCAGUCUGGUGACUAAUAUUUGCAACAAGAACAGAGAAAACAAAAUAAGAGCAAUAAAUUUAUACAGUGUAGACUAGAAGACAGAAAAUUUAAUACAUAAAUAAAGAGGAAAGUAAAGUAUAAAUGAACUAAAGAUGGAAAAAAAAAAAAAAUUUGAUGGUAAUCUUAAAGUUCUGAAUUGAUCGUGAAAGGAAGUAUUUGAAAGGCCCAAUGGGUGAGUCUUGGGGCAAACCAUAGAGUUUACCACCAUUGUCCUCCUCUCCUUGCGGCCUCCUCUGGUGCUCUUUCGUUGAUACCCACAAGAAUUCAUUUUCAAUGAUUUUUCACACCACAAACCCAUGUCAAUAUAAAUAAGAUUUGUGAAAUUGUACAAUAAACCAACAAAAAAUUAAUACUAAAAAAACUAAAAAUUUGGGUAAGCAAAAGAAAUUGAAGUUGUUCGAAGUUUCAAAAGUUAGCCUUUUUCCAAGAAGGAAAAAAAAAUUUCAGCCAACCAAACAGAAAACUGCAAAAUUACACAAUAAAUGUAUCCACAGAGAGAGAGAUGAGACAAAAGCAGCUUGUAUUUAUAUCGUGUAAUAUGUCAUAAAGAAAAAAAAAUUCAAGAAAAUAAAAAUGAGCUCAUGAGAUAAGAUAAGAGGUUAAGAAGAGUGUGGCCAUUCCUUUCAAUCUCCGCAUUCCUUUCUCAAAAACUUUUUGGUCUUUCUUAGAAAACCAUUUACUGUUAGUUCAAAUUAUAGCUUCUGCUGGGUAGAUUUUCUUUGAGUGAAGAACAAAUCUGGUUUUGAGUUUUUCUUUUCUUAGAUAAUAUUUUAUUAUUUUUGUGGGCUCCAGAUGCUUUAGUUGAUGGAAAAUUAAUGGAAUUCAUUAAAUUAGGGCUAAUUGAGCUAAAAUAGAAGUUAAUUUGGGCCUUUGGCCUUUCUUAAAUGGAUUUAAAAAUGAUUUCUGGUUCCUAAAAAAUUCUUAUUUUGGUCCUAACGUUUUCUGUUUAAUGUCAUACUAGAAAUCUUCUCCUCCUUGCCUUUAUUCUUCUUCUUUUAUAAUUAUUAUAGUCUUCAUUUUUUUAUAAUUAUUUUGUUUUUUCUUUUCUAAAACAGUUGGUGGUGAUUGAAAACAAGUAUAGUUGUUAAUAAACAAAAUGAAGGCAUAUAAUGAGUGCAUGUUCGUACCGGAUUUAGUACCUAUUUGGCUUUAAUGUUGAAAUUUCUAUUUUUAAAAUGCAUCCUUUAGAUUGGAACUCAUUUUUAGAGGGUUUUAACUUUUUUUAUAACGAAAAUAUAUCCUAUCUACCUUAAAAACCAUUUAUAAUUGCUUUUGAUUAAAAAUACAACAACAACAACAACGACAUAAACUACAACAACGUGUAGACUCCUAAGGAUUGUGGUUGGGAAGCCAAAAAGUUAGUUUAAAAUUGUUUUUGCCUUGGAAAACGCACCAUUUUAGAUACUGAUGAAACUUGAAAAAACAAUUUGAAAAAGCCGUCUUGCUGUUUUGAAAUUCUUAUGAUUAAAACAUAUUAAAUUUAAUUUUCCACUAACUAGCAUAUUUAAAAAAGAUAAUUUUCUGG
rnacentral:misc_RNA from 1 species